rnacentral:rRNA from 2 species
AAUGCAGUCGAGCGAACAGAUGAGAAGCUUGCUUCUCUGAUGUUAGCGGCGGACGGGUGAGUAACACGUGGGUAACCUACCUAUAAGACUGGGAUAACUCCGGGAAACCGGGGCUAAUACCGGAUAAUAUUUUGAACCGCAUGGUUCAAUAGUGAAAGACGGUUUCGGCUGUCACUUAUAGAUGGACCCGCGCCGUAUUAGCUAGUUGGUAAGGUAACGGCUUACCAAGGCGACGAUACGUAGCCGACCUGAGAGGGUGAUCGGCCACACUGGAACUGAGACACGGUCCAGACUCCUACGGGAGGCAGCAGUAGGGAAUCUUCCGCAAUGGGCGAAAGCCUGACGGAGCAACGCCGCGUGAGUGAUGAAGGUCUUCGGAUCGUAAAACUCUGUUGUUAGGGAAGAACAAAUUUGUUAGUAACUGAACAAGUCUUGACGGUACCUAACCAGAAAGCCACGGCUAACUACGUGCCAGCAGCCGCGGUAAUACGUAGGUGGCAAGCGUUAUCCGGAAUUAUUGGGCGUAAAGCGCGCGUAGGCGGUUUCUUAAGUCUGAUGUGAAAGCCCACGGCUCAACCGUGGAGGGUCAUUGGAAACUGGGAAACUUGAGUGCAGAAGAGGAGAGUGGAAUUCCAUGUGUAGCGGUGAAAUGCGCAGAGAUAUGGAGGAACACCAGUGGCGAAGGCGGCUCUCUGGUCUGUAACUGACGCUGAUGUGCGAAAGCGUGGGGAUCAAACAGGAUUAGAUACCCUGGUAGUCCACGCCGUAAACGAUGAGUGCUAAGUGUUAGGGGGUUUCCGCCCCUUAGUGCUGCAGCUAACGCAUUAAGCACUCCGCCUGGGGAGUACGACCGCAAGGUUGAAACUCAAAGGAAUUGACGGGGACCCGCACAAGCGGUGGAACAUGUGGUUUAAUUCGAAGCAACGCGAAGAACCUUACCAAAUCUUGACAUCCUUUGACCGCUCUAGAGAUAGAGUCUUCCCCUUCGGGGGACAAAAUGACAGGUGGUGCAUGGUUGUCCUCAGCUCCUGUCCUGAAAUGUUGGGUUAAGUCCCGCAACCAACCGCAACCCUUAAGCUUAGUUGCCAUCAUUAAGUUGGGCACUCCAGGUUGACUGCC